UUAAAUGAAGCCAAAAUGAGGCUUAUCACUGUUAAUGAUAGAAUUGAUAAUUUAUCCAUUUAAG
rnacentral:tRNA from 1 species